GACGAACGCUGGCGGCGUGCCUAAUACAUGCAAGUAGAACGCACAGUUUAUACCGUAGCUUGCUACACCAUAGACUGUGAGUUGCGAACGGGUGAGUAACGCGUAGGUAACCUGCCUGGUAGCGGGGGAUAACUAUUGGAAACGAUAGCUAAUACCGCAUAAUAUUAAUUAUUGCAUGAUAAUUAAUUGAAAGGUGCAAUUGCACCACUACCAGAUGGACCUGCGUUGUAUUAGCUAGUAGGUGAGGUAACGGCUCACCUAGGCGACGAUACAUAGCCGACCUGAGAGGGUGAUCGGCCACACUGGGACUGAGACACGGCCCAGACUCCUACGGGAGGCAGCAGUAGGGAAUCUUCGGCAAUAGACGAAAGUCUGACCGAGCAACGCCGCGUGAGUGAAGAAGGUUUUCGGAUCGUAAAGCUCUGUUGUAAGAGAAGAACGGGCGUGAGAGUGGAAAGUUCACACUGUGACGGUAUCUUACCAGAAAGGGACGGCUAACUACGUG
rnacentral:rRNA from 1 species